GACAGAGGGGGCAAGCGUUGCUCGGAAUCACUGGGCGUAAAGGGCGCGUAGGCGGGAUGGCAAGUCAGUCGUGAAAUCUCUCGGCUCAACCGAGAAACGUCGGCUGAUACUGCCGUUCUUGAGGGAUGCAGAGGAGACUGGAAUUCCCGGUGUAGCGGUGAAAUGUGUAGAGAUCGGGAGGAACACCGGUGGCGAAGGCGGGUCUCUGGGCAUCUCCUGACGCUGAGGCGCGAAAGCGUGGGGGGCAAACGGG
rnacentral:rRNA from 1 species